GCGGUAAUACGGAGGGUGCGAGCGUUAAUCGGAAUUACUGGGCGUAAAGCGCAUGCAGGUGGUUUGUUAAGUCAGAUGUGAAAGCCCGGGGCUCAACCUCGGAAUUGCAUUUGAAACUGGCAGACUAGAGUACUGUAGAGGGGGGUAGAAUUUCAGGUGUAGCGGUGAAAUGCGUAGAGAUCUGAAGGAAUACCGGUGGCGAAGGCGGCCCCCUGGACAGAUACUGACACUCAGAUGCGAAAGCGUGGGGAGCAAACAGGAUUAGAUACCCUGGUAGUUCACGCCGUAAACGAUGUCUACUUGGAGGUUGUGGCCUUGAGCCGUGGCUUUCGGAGCUAACGCGUUAAGUAGACCGCCUGGGGAGUACGGUCGCAAGAUUAAAACUCAAAUGAAUUGACGGGGGCCCGCACAAGCGGUGGAGCAUGUGGUUUAAUUCGAUGCAACGCGAAGAACCUUACCUACUCUUGACAUCCAGAGAACUUUCCAGAGAUGGAUUGGUGCCUUCGGGAACUUUGAGACAGGUGCUGCAUGGCUGUCGUCAGCUCGUGUUGUGAAAUGUUGGGUUAAGUCCCGCAACGAGCGCAACCCUUAUCCUUGUUUGCCAGCGAGUAAUGUCGGGAACUCCAGGGAGACUGCCGGUGAUAAACCGGAGGAAGGUGGGGACGACGUCAAGUCAUCAUGGCCCUUACGAGUAGGGCUACACACGUGCUACAAUGGCGCAUACAGAGGGCGGCCAACUUGCGAAAGUGAGCGAAUCCCAAAAAGUGCGUCGUAGUCCGGAUUGGAGUCUGCAACUCGACUCCAUGAAGUCGGAAUCGCUAGUAAUCGUGGAUCAGAAUGCCACGGUGAAUACGUUCCCGGGCCUUGUACACACCGCCCGUCACACCAUGGGAGUGGGCUGCAAAAGAAGUAGUGAUGAG
rnacentral:rRNA from 1 species